GGGCCUCUAGCUCAAUCGGUUAGAGCAGCCGACUCAUAAUCGGUUGGUUCCCGGUUCAAGUCCGGGGAGGCCCA
rnacentral:tRNA from 2 species